rnacentral:rRNA from 1 species
UACGGAGGGGGACUAGCGUUGUUCGGAAUUACUGGGCGUAAAGCGCACGUAGGCGGAUUUGUAAGUCAGGGGUGAAAUCCCCGGGGCUCAACCUCGGAACUGCCUUUGAUACUGCAAAUCUCGAGUCCGGAAGAGGUGAGUGGAAUUCCUAGUGUAGAGGUGAAAUUCGUAGAUAUUAGGAAGAACACCAGUGGCGAAGGCGGCUCACUGGUCCGGUACUGACGCUGAGGUGCGAAAGCGUGGGGGAGCAAACAGG